rnacentral:rRNA from 1 species
CAGUCGCGUCGGCCGGGAAUCAGCUUCGCUCUUGCGUGGUGUACUUUCUGGUUGACGGGUCAGCAUCAAUUUUGACUGCUGGAAAAAGGCUUAGGGAAUGUGGCAGCUUCGGCUGUGUUAUAGCCCUUGGUUACAUACAGCGGUUGGGAUUGAGGAACUCAGCACGCCGCAAGGCCGGGUUUCGACCACGUUCGUGCUUAGGAUGCUGGCAUAAUGGCUUUAAGCGACCCGUCUUGAAACACGGACCAAGGAGUCUAACAUAUAUGCGAGUG